GGGUGUAGCAAUACAUCACCGGCGGACGGGUGCGUAACACGUGGGAAUGUACCUAGUGGUUCGGAACAACUCAGGGAAACCUGUGCUAAUACCGGAUAAGUCCUUACGGAGAAAGUUUUAAUGCCAAAAGAUGAGCCCGCAUUUGAUUAGCUAGUUGGUGAGGUAAAAGCUCACCAAGGCGAUAAUCAAUAGCUGAUUUGAGAGGAUGAUCAGCCACAUUGGGACUGAGAUACGGCCCAGACUCC
rnacentral:rRNA from 1 species